UGAAACGAAUGCGCGAAAAGGUGCUGUCGGAAAAGAAUUAUCAAAUUAUACAACGCGAUUAGGAGGAAUUAAAGAAAUACAAAGCUUAGCGACGUGGGUUUCUUCCAUAAUUAAGCAUGAUUAGUGGAACAGAGAAUGUUAUUUUGGCGGUAAUAGAUUAGAGGCUGAAUGAUGAUGGAUGAAUGAGUGUUAGUUUCAGCAAUUUGACUAUCUUCCGUAAGCAAAGAGCAGUAGCUGAAACAAACAACGAACGAUCACUGUAAGCAUGAACAAGCGCCAAGAAGAUGUGCGCAACAUAGCUACUACCCUCGACUCCAGAUUCAAUCAGACCCUCAGAAAUGUUCAAGGGUUACUCAAAGGUCGUAGUAUACCCGGUAAAAUAUUAUUGAGCCGUAGGGUAGACCCUCCGGAUAACUCAAACUCGAAGGUAUCCUCACCAAAUUACAAAAGGAGCUUUUCUCACAAUGAUGCUGGCACAAGUGAUCACACAUCUGGGGCAGUAGAGGAGGAAUUUCAGAGUACAAGCAAACCAAUUAGUAUUGCCAAUGCCAGUAAGCUAAAAGUGUCGACCUCCCUUGGAGGGAGCCCGCCUGAAGAAUUCCGUAAGUCUACGAUGGGUGCUAGAGCUACAGAUUCUGCAAGAGUUAUGAAGUUCACUAAGGUGCUUUCAGGGACUGUGGUUAUAUUAGACAAGUUGCGGGAAUUAGCUUGGAGUGGUGUUCCAGACAAUAUGCGUCCUAAAGUGUGGAGACUUCUGUUGGGAUAUGCACCACCUAAUUCAGAUAGAAGGGAGGGAGUUCUAAGAAGGAAACGCCUUGAGUAUCUUGACUGUAUUUCUCAGUAUUAUGAUAUUCCUGAUACAGAACGUUCAGAUGACGAGGUCAACAUGCUUCGUCAGAUUGGUGUUGAUUGUCCAAGAACUGUUCCCGAUGUUCCAUUCUUCCAGCAGCAGCAAGUUCAGAAAUCAUUGGAACGUAUUCUUUAUGCAUGGGCCAUUCGACAUCCUGCAAGUGGAUAUGUUCAGGGGAUAAAUGAUCUUGUUACACCAUUUUUGGUUGUUUUCUUAUCAGAAUAUUUUGAAGGGGAUAUCAAUAAUUGGUCAAUGUCUGAUUUAUCUUCAGAUAUAAUCUCUAAUAUAGAGGCUGACUGCUACUGGUGCUUGUCAAAGUUGCUUGAUGGUAUGCAAGACCAUUACACAUUCGCUCAACCUGGAAUUCAGAGGCUUGUUUUUAAGUUGAAGGAAUUGGUCAGGAGGAUUGAUGUGAAACUUUUGAGCUGCACCAGAGCCUGUUUCGCGGCACAUCGAGGAUCAGGGACUUGAAUUUCUUCAGUUUGCUUUCCGCUGGUUCAACUGUCUUCUCAUCCGUGAGAUACCAUUCCAUCUCAUCACACGCCUUUGGGACACAUAUUUAGCUGAAGGAGAUGCCUUACCAGACUUCCUAGUAUAUAUAUUUGCCAGCUUCCUUCUAACGUGGUCAGACAAACUCCAGAAACUUGAUUUCCAAGAAUUGGUAAUGUUUCUUCAACACCUUCCAACAGAGAACUGGACUCACCAGGAGCUUGAGAUGGUGCUUUCCCGGGCAUUUAUGUGGCACACCAUGUUCAACAACUCUCCUAGCCAUUUAGCUAGCUGAGCAGGCGAUUGUGGUUUCUGAAUUUAGUUCUCCUUCAAUUUCCCCUUUUCUUUUCUUGCUUUCUAUCACUUUUGCUCUUGCUCAGUGUGUGGUGCUUUUUGUUAUUUUUUUUAACCAAUUUUACUUGUACGUUACCUUGUAAUAUUUUGUAAAGGAGAUACAAAAACAAUUGUUACAUAGAGCGAGUCUAUUUUUGUUGUAUUAACGAUAUUUAUUCCAGAACAGCGAUCAAUACCCAGUUUGUGUAUGCAAUUUUUUUAUGAUGGAUUCUUAUUCGAGCGUUA